GCCCGGGUAGCUCAAUUGGUUAGAGCUUUCGACUUUUACGUAAGCAAAUCUUCCUAAUUUGGAAGGUGCUGUACCAUCGAAGGGUUGCGAGAUCGAGACUCGCCUCGGGCG
rnacentral:tRNA from 1 species